GCCUGUCCCAUAUUCUUCUCCUUCCUUUGGGCACAAGUGAAAGCCAAGUGACUCAAAUCACGAAAUGAAAGAUUGCCUAGGAGCUGCUUUGGAAAGCAAAUUAAAAUGACUGCCCUUCGUUCGAUUUGAGACACAAGGAAAAAGAGUGUUCCUGUGGCUCCAUUCCUGGCGACCAUUUAAAGACUUAAAGGAAAAGCUCUUUCAGGUCAUGCUGGUUCUGUUCUUCUGCCCCAGGAGGGGGGCUCCUGAGCAGUGAGUGCUGUUCUGUAAGUCUGAUGGCUAACUCGCCAGAUAGAGACCAAGCGACGACGGCGCCUCUUGUUCUAGCUAGUGCUUCUCGCUGGGCUUGAAGGAGGUCACGUGGGCCUUCCCUGGGCCAGGGAGCCUUUUAGCCUCUCUGAGUAAUGUUUGUUUGGGCUUCAGCCAUGGCAGAAAUGGGGCCACUGCAUUAAACUGGCAUUAACUGCUGUGGCUGGGAUGGGAGCCGAAGCCCUGGCUCUUACAGUGAUUUGCAUAGCAUCUCCCAGACAGCUCCCUCUUGGACAUUAUCACUUAUUAAUACAGCUCACCCUCUCGUGCCAAAGGCAGACCACAGAGAAGCAAGUUAACAGUGGCUGGUUGAUAGAACCCUAGUAUCCUCUGAAGAUUUGGGACCUGGGUAGGAUGACUUCCACUGUUAAUUUUCCCUUUUCAUCCACUCAGUUCUCAUCUCUGUGCCGGGGAACAUUUGGUCCCCAGGUGCAGAGUGGACAGAAGCCUCCUGUUUACUGCUUUCCAUCUUCCAUGGGAGCCUGGUCUCCCUGUCUGUGCCCCAUCUCCACCCAUUCCAGACUUUGCUCUCAAAUCAGUCUUCCUAAAGCUCUGUGGAAUGGAGAAGCUUCCAAAGCCAACCACUCUGCAAAAAUUAUAACAAUUUUUGUAUAAAGGUACCUAAUUUGUACCUCAAACUCCCAUUGCCACCUGAUUGCCGAAAAUGUAGAGACUUCUCAGUCAUUUAGGUUCAAAUUCAGUUACAUGCAGUGUUUUCUCUGCUUUCCCUUCACUCCUGGAUGUAUUUCAGGUCUGAGGUUGGGAAGGAGAUCAAGUAUCAUGGGGGCGGGGUUAGGUGUCUGCUCUUAAAGCUGGAUUCCACUUAGAUUUCCUGUGGUGCAGGAACAGACAGGCCUGUCACUAGGCCCUCUCUGCCCUGGGUCCCCACGUGCCAUCUCUUAUGCCCCCAUUCCACCAUGCCAUGACACAUAUUUCUGGGGUUUGCCAAACUCCAGAAGAAAGAAAAAUCUCUUUAUCUCUUGAAAUCCCCAAUGAAUCUAGGAGUUCUAACUGCCACUUGCCAUCCCCUAGUAGGGCACAAGCCUCUUUCUGAGGGACCGUCCACAUUCGAACACUCUUUUCCUGCUCAGAAGCUCCCUGUCGGGCCAGGGCAUCUUUUUAUCUGGUUUGCACACUGGGUGGCCUGGCUCUUCUGUUUUGUUUCUCUCUCCAACUUCUGGUGUCAGCUUUAUGCCAAGCUUCCUUCGGGUAUUGGCCUUCUGUAUUCCAAAAUACCAUUUCUAGCAAAUCAAAAGUGUUGACUUCUAAGAACAUUGUCUCUGCUGCCUUGUAAGAGCUUCUUUUGGAAUUUAAAGCCAAUAAUUUGACUCUUUGUUCCUCCUCAGGCAAUGACCGUCCCCGGGACCAUGAAUGCCACUAAGCGCUCAGAAUUCCAUCCCACAGCAGCUGCUUUCAUCAUGCCACAUCUCACCCCAGAACCUUUGAGAAAAGGAAACUGAGGCUCAAAGAUGUUUCAUGGUGUGUAUAACAAGGCCAUCUAUGGAGUGGAGUCCAUUUGACCCAAUGCCCAUGAUCUUGAACCCUAUCGAAACUGCUUCAGGGAAGAGAACCAACCUAGUCACUGUCAGCAGAACAAACAGGUCCAACCACAUUGCCUAUUCUAUAAAUAUGCCCUUACUUCCCACUUAAGGAUGAUACACAUGCUUGUCUUUCCUGGACAUAACCUCAGCUGGACCUAAAUUCCGUCUCAUCAAUGGACCGUACAAUGCUCUUGCCAGCCUGAUCUGAGAACCUGGGCUAGCCCACAGCUCACCUCCCCCACCUAUCCUGUCCUGCCGAGCUGGUGGGACCCAUUGGCAACACGGUCUGGUAAGUGAAGUACUAGGUUUGGAGACAGGCAUCCCAGGCUUAAGCUCAACUUCUCUACUCAUUCUGUGACCUUGGACAAGUAACUCAUUGGCUCUGAAUCUCAGUUCUAUCCUCUAGAAUGGGAAGGACCACAUCUACCUUGUAGGUACGAUGAUUAAGUGAGUUCACACAUGUGAAAGCAUCAUGUCAGAUACAGGACAAAGGCAUUUCCCUCCCUUUUUCCUUGGUUGUUGAUGAAAAUUUCUAGAGUCAGUCUGCUUUAUGUCAACUCUCUAUAGGUUUUUUCCAUGAAAGUUUUUGAAGCAUUUGACAUUUCAGUUAAACUUGGUAAAUUGCUAGAGUGUUAUCAAGGUGCACUUUAAGUUCAUUUUGUGGUUCACUCCACCACCUAGAAACAAAAUGUCAGUCAAUGAAUUUCUCAAAGGGGCCCUUAAUCUGUGGUAUUAAUGGACAUCAAUGAAAUAUGGUGGUAAGUGGAGAGUAUGUAGGUUUAUGAGUGCCCUGAGUGAGGCCUCUGGGUUACAGAACUGCUAAUGUCAGAAUGUAGAGAGUUCAAGGAUGAACCAUGUUAUUAUCUAUGUUCAUUGGCUGGGUUUCUGACCAGUCUUUAAGAAGAAAUCUGCUUUUAUCAAAUAACAUAGAGAACCAUGGAAAAGAUGGGGAGGGCACUAAUGUUCCUCCAAACAGUCUAGGUGGGAGUCACUGUGGUAAGGCAGGUGCCAGAUUACCAGGUUUAACCCUCACAAUAACUCUAUGAGGUAGGUAUUAGAAACCUAAUUUUACAAAUGAGAUAAGUGAUACUCAAAGAAGUUAAAUAACCUAACCAAGGUCCCAACAACCAGUAACCAGGGUACGUUGCCUGACUCCAAACUCAUACUCUUCACACAUCACAGAUACAAGUGAAACCUAUGAUUUAUAGAGUUCUGACAGCAAAGAUGCACAUACUACAUGUCAGUUUCCCCACAUGAUCUGAUGGCCUCAAUUCCCGUUGCUCCUGUGCUGUCUUGUACAUCUCGUACGAGGACAGACUUGGACAAGGACAGCCCUAUACAGCAUGGCUCUCCACGAUGUGUCGGGGAAGGGUGCAUGUCCAAAUCACUUGGGGAACAUUUUCAGAUCCUCUCCACAAUCACAGCAAGCAGGUAAACACGCUCCCCCAUCUUCUGAUGGAGGUACCGUCAGCAGGGGAAGGCCUGAAGCAUGAACAUCUUUCAGAAAGCACAGCUGGGACACCUUUCUGGAAGCCAAACAUCUCUACCCUCCUACAACAAACUGGAUGACACAGUCAGCAGGCUGAAUACCAGAGCUUUACCACCCAUUCCCGGUUACCUAUGCCGACUCGGAGUAGAUGGAUCGGUGAGAACCAGAAACGAUUUGAAAGCCAUCUCAUCUAAUCACGUCAGUUCCCUUUUGCAGUAAACCUUUCACCAGGGACACUAACAGGAGAAUUAAUUCAUUUGAGUUUUACUUUCUCUUUCUUCCCAGUGCUAGUAGAGAUGUCAAUCAACAGAGAAAUGGCCAAAGGGCAGGAAGCAGAAGAGGGGAGAACAAAGGCCUAAAGACUUCAUCGAGGGCAUCAACAUGCCUUUAAUAAUUAAUCAGUUAAGAACUAAUCAAUUAGCCCUUCAAUAAUUCAGGAUUGAAAACUGAUCACUGAUUAGUGGAAGUAUGUGAGUUUGCUUUUUUUUUGUCCAACCUCGAGAAUGCCCACCUAAUGUUGCAUUCAAUGCUGCAUUGGGUGGUUCUAGCUACUCUGCCCCUGCCUGGAUG